rnacentral:lncRNA from 1 species
CUCUUUGUUCUCUGGUAAACCAUUAUCAUCUUGGUGAAUCUCAGCAGAUUGAUUUGUGGUAAAUUAGCUUGAGAAAGCUUAAGCAAUGGGAAAGUAGACAUUUUAACUUUGCAAGUGGACACACUGAGGCCCAGGGAGGAAAGAAAGCUCCCUGGCCACAUGCCACAUCCUAACCCUCCUGCACACACUUACCCCCACAGGCCUGAGAUCAACGACAUGACUGGUCAGGGCCUCCCAGGCCUGAUGCUGAAAACCCAUCCAUUCACCCAAGUGGUGAACACUGAAUAUCCCUGCCUCUCUUGAAAAUGCUACAUUUAAACAGGCAGAGAAAUGUAUUUCAUAGAAUAUGCAUACUUUUUCCUUUGUACAAAAGCAUUUUAAUCUCUCUUAGUUCAUAGCCAAGAUGAACAAGAGGAGGAACAAUCACCACACACAAAAAUCAGUCACCAGGCAUCAGAGCCUUCUGGGGUGAACAUCUAUCAUUACCAUCAUCACCACCACCAUCCUCACCGCCGUCAUUGCUGUUUUUUAUGAGCUCACAGGAGUCAUGUGGAGGCCCAGGGGAACCUCGCUUAAAUUCCAUGAUGAAGGCCAUGGGGAGAAACAUUUGACUGGGGCCCUUCUGCAUGAGGAAGUGGAGGUUGUUAGUGUCUCCAGGGCAGAUACCCUGCUAUGUUCUCUGACCCCCCUCCCCACUCCACCGCAGUUGCUGAAAUGGUGCUGGCUUGUCACAGUUGCUCAGUAAGUAUGCAUUUGCUCCUUUGUUGGAUUGGAAGAGAUGUGGUGGUUGGAAGGGAGGAUGGGCUGGGGGGCAGUGGGUGAGUGUGUGGUAGGGAAGGUGGGACAAGGAUGAUGGAAAUGGGUGGGUGGCUGGGUACACAGAUGUGUGAGUGAGUGGUAGAUGGAUAAAUUGGUGGGGCUUGACUGGCUGGCUGCGAGAGUACCUGGAUGGCCACGUGAAUGAAGGGUCAUUGGGGCAGGAGCCAAAAGUAUGGUGUGUGGGCUCCCUUUGCUCCCCAGACAAGUGAAAGUUUUCUGGAUUUUCAUCACCAUCUGUCAAGCUCUCUGACUCAGCUCUUUUCAACUAGAAGGUGACAGAGACCCCAAGAGCCCCUGGGAAGCAAAGAGGAGAUGAUAUCGGGGUUUUCAGGUGUAAUUGGUUUUAUUUGCAAGUCUCCCCAUCCCCAAAGCUAAGAAAUUCCAUGGGGAACUGAGUAACUCUGAGGAAAUCUCACCCUGACUGUCUGUCAAGGAGUAUUAUCUAAGAAUCCCAGGACUAAAAAGAGAGAGGCACUUGGCAAGCUCAUCUACUUCCUUCAGGCAUAACCAUGCCCACCCUUCCACAUUCCUAGUCACCCUCAGGCAGGGAGGCCUCACAUUCCCACCCUGAAGUCCAGAGUAAUGUCCAGCCCAGGGAUUCUCAUCUGAGGUGAUUUUGCCCCCCAGCGACAUUCAGCAAUGUCAGAAAGCAUUUUCAUUGUCACAGCUGGGGGAUGCUACUACUGGCACCCAGCAGGUAUUGGCUAAGUUUGCUGCUAAACAUCCUACAAUCCAGGACAGACUCACACACGGAAUUAUCUGGUCAAAGUGUCAGUGGUGCCGAGGUGGAGAAACCCUGGUUUAAAUCAAAUCCCUACAGCUUUAGUAGAAAUUUAAUAGACAUAUAAUGGGAACUACAUUUAAAAUGUUAAAAUUUUGAGUGGUCACAUUAAAAAAGUAAAAAGUAAAAUUAUGUUAAUACGAUAGCUCAUUUACCCCAAUAUAUCAAAAAUAUUACCAUUUCACCAUGUAAUUAGUAUACACAAUUCCUAAUGAGAGUUUUAACUGGUUUUUAAAAUCCAGUGUGUAUUUCACACAGUAUGUCUCUGUUCAGACCAGCUGCAUUUCAAGCACUUGACAGCCUCUUGUGUUCAAUGCAGGCAGGAGGGUAUGUGGUCUCUUCUUUCAGCCCCACAGGAAUAUGCAAUGGGGAGGGUCUUAUGUUUCUCCGUGCUGUGCUGACCCUCUCCUCCCCUCCCUGAGCCUUUCCUAGUAGUGGUCUUUGGAAGAUAAGGAGGAGCAGAAGCUCAGAUGGUGCCACUGCAGCCAGAGCUAAACCACAGAGGACGAGGCUCCCAGGAUCAGCCAGAUGGAGAACGUCGGGCCUCUGAGAAGUGCUCAGGUCAAGGCAGGGGCCAGGGUACCAUUGUGGUAUCCUGGGUGGUGGGGAUGAAUUAGCUUCUCCAGAUUUCGUGCAGCGUGUUCAGCCGGCCAAGCACUGAAGCCCAGAGAAUGAAGCUGAAGGUUGUGAAGAUAAAUUUCAAAUUCCUCACCUUCUCCAGACCCCUCAGACCUGCUAGGUUCCACCCUCUUCACAACAAUGAUUGCCAGUAUUGAGAUCAUCCAUGAGCCAAAACUGUGUGGGACAUUUUAUGGCCAUAGCUCACUUAGUUCUCACAAUAUUCCUGAGAGGGAGGUAUUGUGAACCCAUUUUACAGAAAGGGAAACUGGGCUGAAGGAUACUGAGGGAAUCAUAUGCCUACAGAGCAGCAGGACCAGAGUUUGUAUCCAGAUCUGUCCAGCUCUGGGGCUCACCUCUUCCUGUUAGCCAGCCUGCCUCCCUCUAAUCCUGACCCCCAUAAUUCACUUCUGAGGGGAGGAACAUUAGAACUGGUUUUGCCAUCUAGACUUUGAGAUUAUGAGGAAAGGAAGAGAAGGGCCCAGAAUUUACUGAAUGCCACUCACAUGCCAGGACUGUGCUGGGCACUCUCAUGAGAUGAGUCUCCUUUUACUUCCUUGCAAGCCUUGUUUGCAGAUUUGAAAACCGAGGCUUUGAAAGUGAGUUAACCUGCCUGAAAUCACAUGGAGAAGAGGUAGUUGAGGAAGGAAAAGAAUCUCCUUUCUCUGGAGGCCGAGUGCUGUGGGUUUUUGACAGUCUUCUCAUGCUGUUGUUUCCCUGGGUGCCCCAGAGGAUGGAGAACAGGGCAUGUGCCCUAGGCCGCAGCAAUACCUGUGGCUAUCACUUGGUCUCAACUGUACCCAUGUGACUGACAGGAAAGUGGAAUGGUGCAUCAGAAGCCCUCGCUUUCACUCCAAGCUCUCCUGUCAAUUAGCUGUGAGACCUUUGACAAAUCCCUGAAUACUUCUAGUUUUGAUCUAAGUUCUAAGGAACAGAAGCUGUGCUUAUUUCUUUUGACCCUCAAUGCCUAGCACAGGGUCUGGCACAUAUAAUAUAGUUGCUUAAUUUUUUUUGACUAUGUCUAAACAUGGAAUAGUUGGACCUUACUAGGGGUUUAUUAACUUUUUAAAAAAGCAUGGCUUGCUUUGUUCAAUGACCCCUUGGAAGCCUAAUAUGUAGAGUAGGUAAAGAUAAUCCUUAUUUAAGUGGUGGUGGGGAGGAGGGCAGGGCCUGACAUUCUUGUAUUCCCCAUGGUGGUCCUGAAGGCAUCUCCAUUGGUUAGGUGCCCCCAAGGUCCCUUCCAUUUCUGAUAUCCUGUGAUUAUAUUUCCAACUCCACCUCCCUACUCAGACUCUCAAGCAUGGAAGAAGUAGAGGUUUCCAAGCUGCUGCCCCAGCCUCCAAAGAUGAGGAGGAGGACAUCCAAGCUAUCAUAAUCUGUCAGAAGGGGCAGAGGUAGCAGGUGGUGAAGGCUGCAUGGGCACCCAUCUGGGAGAGGCAGAAGGCAGAGGAGCAAAGGGGAAGCUGGGACCCUAGCAGGACGUGCAGCAUCUCCUAGUCCCCAAGAAGGAACUGGAGACCCCACCUCACCAGAGACAAAGCCAGGAGCAGCGGGGUCCCUGGGCCCUGGAGGAGGAGAGCUUGGUGAGCAGGGAGCCAUGAGGGAGGAAAAAAAACAGAGAAGUCCCCAGUCUUCUCAGAGAAAUACUCCAUGCUAGGGAAGACAGCACUGGAUGAGAGACUGGUCUCAGAAAAAACCUCCAUCGCCAAGAAGGUGCUAGCCUUGGAGAAAACAUCUCUAUCUGAGAAGACAGUGGUAUCAGAGAAAAGACAGCUCAGAGAAGAAGCUGGUUCCAGUAAAGACAGGUGUCUCAGAGAAGACACUGGCCCCAGGAAAGGCAUCAGUGUAGGAGAAGAUAGUGGUGAUAAAGCAAAAGUCCAUCUCAGAGAGGUCGGUUCUAGAAAAGACAAGUGUCUCAGAAAACACACCAGGCUCAGAAAGGAGACUGGUGUCUGAGAAAGCAUCGAUCUUCGAGAGGUCACCAGUCCUAAAGAAGAGCCUGACAAGACAUCAAGCUGGCUCCAAAGAAGACUGCAGCCUCAGAGCAGCCCAGGCCCAGGAGCAGCCGGCCUCUCGGAGGAGGCCAAGCCACCACUGAGAGGCAGACAGAAAGGGCCCUCCCUUGGAAGAAACUGCCGUCCUCUGCAGAGCAGGGCAUUUUGGGCCCUCUGACUGUAGUCUCCUGCCUCUCACUAGUCACACUCCUGGUUGGCAGUGUCCUCUCCCUCCUACCCUUCCACCCUCCACCCUGGAGGGCUCCUUCCUAUUUCCACUCAGGUGGUCUCUGGCUCCCUGUCUGUCUCUCACCCACCCCACUAAGGCAGGUUGGUGUUGGCAGUCUCUUCCCCACUGCCUCCUUCCAGCCAUGGUCAGAGCAGGGACUGAGAUGGGGCAGGCUGCUAGACUUCAAGGGGCACCAGCCAUGGGGCAGGGAGACCUGGUACCCCCUACCACAUCCUCAUCCAGGCCUGGACUCCAGGGCUCCAACAGACUCUUGGGAAGCCUCAGAUCAUUCCGGAAGCUCCCCUAGGAAGCUCUGCCUGGUGACCUGGCCCCAAGGGAAUGCUUAUCCACCAACCACUCUUACAGAAGGUGAAGGAGGCAGGAGAGAGAGGCAGAGGACUGUCUCACUUUCCCCUUCUCCUGCAGCUCCUGGGAUGAAACAUGGGGUCUGUGGCUGCCUGAGCCCACUGGGCUCUAGACCUCUGUGUGAUGCUCCCCCUGCCCUGUCUGGGUAAAAAACCCCAGCAAGGAGGAAGAGGCAGACCCCCUCAUCCACUCGAUGCGCCUGCAGUAGCUCCCUCAAAUACUCCAGGCCAGGACCACCUCCUUUCAGUGCCAGCAUGAGGCUCCCGGCCAGCACAGUGAAGUUGGGAGAGACACUGGCAGGAUACACACAGCUAUGCAGGCAAAAGAGGAAUCAAAAAGGAUCAAGUUGCCAGCUGCCAUCUGCCUUUUGCCUUUCCCUUCCACUUCCCCCAGCCUGUCACCCUCCUCUCCUGGUGGGCUAAAAGUGGCACGUUUAGGAAGAUCACAGCUGAGUGUUUGGGACAAGGACUGAGGGGUGGGGUUGGUGUUCCUGAAGACAAACAUCAUGUUCUCAAUUAUUCGUGGGAGCUAAUAAUUAAAACGAUUGAACUCAUGAAGGUAGAGAGUAGAAAGAUGGUUACCAGAGGCUGGAAGGGGUAGUGGAGUGGGAGGAGAUGUGGGGAGGGUUAAUUGGUACAAAAACAUAGAAAAAAACCUAGUAUUUGCUAGCACAACAGGGUGACUAGGGUC